AUUGAACGCUGGCGGCAUGCCUUACACAUGCAAGUCGAACGGCAGCACGGGGCAACCUGGUGGCGAGUGGCGAACGGGUGAGUAAUGCAUCGGAACGUACCUUUCAGUGGGGGAUAACGUAGCGAAAGUUACGCUAAUACCGCAUAUUCUGUGAGCAGGAAAGCAGGGGAUCGCAAGACCUUGCGCUGAUUGAGCGGCCGAUGUCAGAUUAGCUAGUUGGUGAGGUAAAGGCUCACCAAGGCGACGAUCUGUAGCGGGUCUGAGAGGAUGAUCCGACACACUGGAACUGAGACACGGUCCAGACUCCUACGGGAGGCAGCAGUGGGGAAUUUUGGACAAUGGGGGCAACCCUGAUCCAGCCAUGCCGCGUGAGUGAAGAAGGCCUUCGGGUCGUAAAGCUCUUUCGGCCGGGAAGAAAUCGCACGGGCUAAUACCCUGUGUGGAUGACGGUACCGGAAUAAGAAGCACCGGCUAACUACGUGCCAGCCGCCGCAGUAAUAC
rnacentral:rRNA from 1 species